AGCAUCGGAGCAAAGAAGGUGAAGAAUGAAUGUAACGGAUUUGGUGAAUAUUGUGAAGUACAAAAUUAUGACGGAUGCUUCAGGACUUUCCAACAAAUCAAGCAAGAGUAUAUAACUUUGAAGAAGAAGCUUGAGACUUAUUUUCAGUUAUUGAAGGAAGCUGCUCAAAUCAAAUGAAAUAAUGUGGGUGCCGAAACCCUUACCCUUUAUUGAAGCUUUUUUUAUCCACCAAUAGUGUAUGUGUGUGUCUAGAGAGAGAGAAAGAGAGAGAGAAUAAAAGUUUUUAAAUGUAAGAGAGCCAUGAGUUAAGGUCGUUGUUAUUAUAAUAUUAUCUGAUUUUAUGUAAUUCAUAAUUCAUAAUUUAACUUAAAUUUCAUGCAACCACUGCCAACAGUACAGCAUAUAUGUACACUUAAUAAAUUAAAAGA